rnacentral:SRP_RNA from 1 species
CCUCGCGCUGCGCCUGGAAAGGUCGACUGUCCGUAAGCCCGAUUGCGGAUUUCGGAUUGCGGAUUGCGGAUUGGUCUGGGUAAGUUUCCCUCGCCCCAGGUCCGCAGGCUUUCCGCUCGUGAACCGCGUCAGGCCCCCGCAGGGAGCAGCGCUAAACGAUGUCGGGAUUCGUUGCGGGGUGCCUGGGGCAUUCUACUCCCCACAAAUCCGCAAUCCGCAAUCCGCAAUUCUCGCUAGA